rnacentral:lncRNA from 1 species
UUUUUUUUUUUUUUUUGGUUACAAGGAGCAGAGUAAGGGUCAGUGAGUAGGAUUAUAAGGAGUAUAAUUUUUUUCAAUCUGGUAGAACAAUAUUUCUAAGAAAUAGAUUCAUUGAAAAAUCAGAAUAGACUUACCCCAAACUGAACACAUUCACCCAAUGAUUAUGAUUACUUAUGUGAUAUAUUGAGGCCAUUUGGAUGUCACUUAAGGAGUAGGCCAAGUGACCUCUGAGGGCCAAUCCUAUUUGGAACUUAGAAGUCUGUCAAAAUAUGUUGUUAGAGGUUUCUAAUAGUUUGACUCCUAAAUUCAGUCCUAAAAUUUAAAAAAUCUGAGACUACAAACACUAGACUCUGAAUAUAAAUUUUUUCCCAGGUAAUGGUCCUUUUUCUUCUUUAUAUUCUCCCACAAGACUAUGAGAAACCCCAAGUCUUGGCAAACAUCUCGCUUCUCUCUGAAUUCACAGAACAGUGCCUGACACAUAGUUGGCAUUCAAUUAUUGCUGUGAGUGGGGACAGGACAGUAUUUGAGGUAUUGGCAUACUUUUUAAAUCAAUGUAUUUCUUCCUUUUCCUUCCUAUCAUUCAACUAGAAUGGAUCUCUGUUAUUUAGACUCUGAGAAAGUAUUGGUACAUCUAAACUCUUAGAAAAAGAUUUUAAUGAUUGUGGAAGAAGUAAAGAGGAAAUGGAGGAUCCCUGGGAACCAAAAGUGCAUCUUGGAGAGGCAAGGACUAGAUGGGGGCUUAACAUCUGCCAUCAUUCCUAUAAACAAAUUGUUUGGGGCUGUGGUUCUGUGAAACUUGGGGCCAUAUCCUCUCCUUUGGUCAUAUAACUGGAGGGAAGAAUCAGCCAGUUGGGAAGCAAACCAGCCCAGGGCCAGAUCCUUCAGUGAUCCCACCCCUCUUCUUCUUUAUCUCUGAGCUCUGGCCACCUUGGUCUUCUUUCAGCUUCUCAGCAGGGCUGGAAUUGUCCUCCCAUGGGGACUCUACACCUGUACUGGGAUCCUUAUUUUCUCUGCUCUAGAGGUAGAAGAGCAAAGAAUCUCUUGACCCAAAAGAGUCAGGCAGGCAAGAACAACAACGCUUUCAGACAGAAUAACUACCAUUGCGUAACUCUCCAUGUGAACUAGUGACUGAGAACCAGAAACAGAGGUAAGACUUCAAAAACUUGGUUGUGGUCCAAUCCUGGGGAAGAGAAAGGGACCCAAGAGGAACUGAGUUAACAUUUUCCAAUAGCCCAUUGAAAUGUAAAGUCAGAAAUUAAGUGUUUAUAAAAAUAAAAGAAUCCCUCUUUUAUACCCAAGUUAUAUACUGAGUUUUAUGCCAACCACUAAGAAGUGAAAAAAACCAAUCAAAUUAGAUCAGCAGAUAUUAAAAAUCAUAAGACUUAUAUUCGUUCUGUUUCUAAUGUUUCCACUGAGCAUUUGUGCUAUUGUUUUCCUUAUUCACUAAAGCUCCACAAUGUCAUUGUCUCUGCUUCUGUUUAAUUAGUGAUAGCACAUUCUAAAUCAUCUGAUUCUUAUGAGAAGGCUCAUAAGAAUGUAGUUUAUAGAGUGUGUGGCCCCCACCAUCCCAUUGAUAAUAAAACAUAGUCAAAGAAGUAUUUUCUUUCUUUAAAGACACUCGAAUCCAUUUGGCAUGGAGUGAACUAUUUAAGCUUUCUUAAAGAAGGAAUGCCAAGGUUUUAUCUUAAAAAUGCAGUAUAACAGUGGCCUCCCAAUCCUCCAGCAAAUACCUGUUUAAAUGUUUUUUAAGUUGAAAUUUCUCGGUGUUUGACCUGAACAUUCCCUACCUCAGCUCAUGAUUGUUGUAGCCUAUUCCUUUCUCCUUGUGAAGAAGAAAUACUGGCUUCCUGGCCUCUAUUUAAUAUCCCUUUAUGUCAUCAGACACUGUGGUUUAUCUUCUUUCUCUCAUUGUGAGUAGAGCAACAGUGCUCACUCACAUCCCUUAACCUUGACUUCCUGCCCUCACUUCCCAGUCUUUCCUGCUGUGUAACAUCAUCUGUUUUCACCUCAAGUGUACAUCUAUUUAUUUCAGCAUGCAGAGGCUGCUGGGAUUUUACUUGAGAUUGAAACUGAAGGAGCACUAUUAAUCCCAAGGCACUUCUGAAUUUUAAAAUCAGUUUGAGACAAUCAGCCUUAUCAAGUGCUUUCAUGAGGUUUUCAGAACCAUUUGAAUUAAAACUAUCUUGCUCACAGUGUGAUAGAACGUUACUGUUGAACUUGAAGGUUGCUGAGGGCUGUGGAAUACUUGACUGCUUUGAUCAUGUAACUGCCUUGUCCAAAGUUCUCCCUUCCCUAAGAAUUAAAGCCAAAGUCUGUACCCUGAACCUGAAGCCUAGGUUCUGAUACUUCUCUUCAGUUUUACAACAUAUGCUUCUUGUAAGGAAGGCUUCACAUUGGUCUCACUGGGCUACUCAAUAUAUACUUCUUCCAAGUUAUAUAUGUACAUUCAUAUUUAGUGUAUAACUUACUCAACACAUUAUUUCAUCUUAUUUCAUGUCAUGUAGUUCCAAUGCUAAGUUUGUUACCCUCUUAGUAAAAUCUCAGUACUUGAGAUAAGGGACACCUAACUCUUGUUGAACUCUUUAAAAGUGAUCACUAUGAAGGUAUUUUAGUAAUUUAAGAAUUGGUGCCAAGAAAGAAUAAAACACCUGAUGUGAAUAUGCAUUUUCUCAACCCAAAUGAAUGGCUCUAUUCCACAUAAGUAAUUCUUACUCUUCUAAUUAAAGUCUUUAUGGUCAGUAUCUUGCAGGUGGAUUUCCAGAGGGUACUUUGUCUUGGGGCCUACCAAAUACAUCCAGAUAAGGGAAAUAAAAGAUGAAACUGAGGGAGAGAAGAAAGGAGCAUGCUUUUCUCAUCCUACCAAUCCGUUUAAAUUUCUCGUCUUAUGAAGGUCUCUUAAGGAUCACCUGAGACCAAUAAGUGAUGUUGACUCUACAUUAAAAUGCCAUUACUAAUGUCAUGUAGCUAGACCCACUUAUUAUGAGCUCCCCUAGCAAAGAAAAUGCCUCAAAGGAAAUACAUUUCAAUGAACCAAUAUAUUUCAUUAUAAUUUGGGCCAAUUGUGCUCAUUCAGGAGAUAUUCAAAAUGUACAGGGGCAGAAAAUUCAGCCUUAUAUGAAAUAACAGCAUGGACCACCUGGGUGACAUAUUCAAUUUGGAUCUUUGUAUGAGGUAGGAAACAAGAGAUGAGUGACCUCUGCAAUUUGGAGAUUUCAUUUUUUUAGUCAGAUAAAAGUCAGAGCCCUAGGUGGGAAAUCCUUGAUAAUGCCUAGAAAGUUACAAACCAAUUUAUAGUGGUAUCAAAUGGAAUCAAAUUCAUUUUUUAGUCUUAGAGAGCUGACAUAAAAAUUUUUAAUACUUAGUGUUUUUAAAGUUUAAUGUUUUCAUUUUUUAAUGUUUCAAUUACAAUUUUAAAGUACUUAUAUAUAAACUCAGUAGAUUUAAAAGUUGUUAUUUAAGAAAUAAUUAGGCUUAACUUCACAUUUUAAAUGAGUUCUUUCUUUAAAGAUUACUAACGCAUUAUACAUGAUUAUAGCAGAAUGACUAAUGAUAAAAUUGUGAGAAAGCAUUUUUAGAUAAUGGCCCUACUGAGUUCUAUCAAUCUCAAUAAUUUACAAUUUGAAAAGCAAUUAAUAUUCAUGUUUUGCUGUAGAAUCACAUAUCUGGUAAAAAAUCUAAGGACUUGAUUCUGCAUUAUCAACAAGUUUUAUUUCUAAACAGUGAAUGCCAGUUCUCCCUAGCCAUCAUGAAUGGUCACUAAAAUUACAAAAACUAUGAGAGGCAAGAACAGAAGACAGUAUUGGGCCACUUUUCAGAAGAUUUGGGAAAUGUUUUUUAAAAAAAGCUUCUUGCAUAUUAUAAUAAAAAUGGCAAAAGUUAAAGAUAAAGAUAAAAAUAAAAUAAAAAUAAAAAAUAAAAUAAAAUAAAAUAAAAUAAAAAAAGAUAAAGAUAAAGAUAAAGAUAAAGAGAGGAUUCUAAAGGCAGCAAGAGAAAACAAAGUGUUAAUUAUAAGGGGACCCCAAUAAGGCUAUCAGCUGAUUUCUCUACAGAAAAACUACAGGCCAGGAGGGAGUGGCAAGAUAUAUUUAAAGCACUGAAAGGAAGAAAAUUUCAACCUAGAACACUCUAUCCAACAAGAAUAUUAUUUAAAAUAGAAGGGGAAAUAAAGAAUUUCUCCAACAAACAAAAGAUAAAAGAGUACAGAAAUACAAAACCCAUUCGAAAAUAAAUACUAAA